GUGUCAGCAGCCGCGGUAAUACGGGGGGUGCUAGCGUUAAUCGGAUUUAUUGGGCGUAAAGCGCGCGUAGGCGGUUUCGUAAGUCAGAUGUGAAAGCCCAAGGCUCAACCCCGGAAGUACAUUUGAAACUGCGGAACUUGAGUAUGGGAGAGGGAAGUGGAAUUCCUGGUGUAGCGGUGAAAUGCGUAGAUAUCAGGAGGAACACCGGUGGCGAAGGCGACUUCCUGGACCAAUACUGACGCUGAGGCGCGAAGGCGUGGGGAGCAAACAGGAUUAGAUACCCUGGUAGUCCACGCAGUAAACGGUGAUCACUAGGUGUAGCGGGUAUUUACCCCUGCUGUGCCGAAGCUAACGCAUUAAGUGAUCCGCCUGGGGAGUACGAUCGCAAGGUUAAAACUUAAAUGAAUUGACGGGG
rnacentral:rRNA from 1 species